UUUUAUACUGUAGAAUCUGAAAAAUAUCACAAGGUUGAUAAGAGGGCGAUAUCGAAUAGAAACAUUAUAGAACUCUACGCUUUCUUAGAAUUAUCUUAUUUCUUUCUUUCUUUUCCAAAGUUUGACAAUACAUUUCUUAGCCCAACUGAAAAAUAAAAGAAACGCAAUUAAUUAUGAGAAGGACUCAUUUAGAUUUCUCUCUCUCCUCAUCUUCUGACGUCGAAGUGAUACAUCGUCUUCGUAGCCAACGCACAUGCGUCGCGUCUCGUCACGUCACGCGUUCGCCAGUAGUUUCCGAAUCGCGCGCGCUACCGAGCGUGCGGUGCGAGCGAGUGAGCGAGUAGAGACAGAGACGCACCUGCGUGUCGCGACGCGCAGCUGCGACCUUCGUUGCCCUUGUACCGCCGACGGCCGUUCCGGCGGCUGAGACGUCGCCGUCAUUUUUACACGGGACGCACGUCCACAUAGAGGUCCACGUAGAGGUCCACGUAGAGGCUGCUCUAUCUCGUUCCGUCGACAAACGUCGCGGUCGCCUGUUGGUUUGUUUUAUUUCUCGUCGAUUUGUCUCUCGUCGCGGUUUCGAAUCGGUCUCGCGAUCGUAAAGAGGACCGGAAGUGUUCCGCCGAGCGGGAACAUUCGCGCGCGAAUGCCUUCCGCUUGCGGCUUUGCUUUUCCAAAAAGGGAUUAAAAGAGGGAGGACGCUUUCCGAGGAGUCGAACGACGGUUCGGACAGCGUGCCGGCAGGCCGAGGCAGCGACCCGACCUCGCCCUCGCCCUCCCCUUCGGAGGGCAGGCACGCGGAAGCCGAGGAAACAACAGCGGGCUCGAACGUCCUCAAGAUGGGCAGCACGGAUUCGGCAGGCAAUGCUCGCGGG
rnacentral:misc_RNA from 1 species